rnacentral:lncRNA from 1 species
AUGGACUGUUGCCCACCAGNNNNNNNNNNNNNNNNNNNNNNNNNNNNNNNNNNNNNNNNNNNNNNNNNNNNNNNNNNNNNNNNNNNNNNNNNNNNNNNNNNNNNNNNNNNNNNNNNNNGUGAUCCCAUGGACUGUAGCCCACCAGGCUCCUCUGUUUAUGGGAUUUCCAGGCAAGAAUACAGGAGCAGGUUGCUAUUUCCUGCUCCAGAGGAUUUUCCUGACCCAGAGAUCAAACCCUGGUCUCCUGCACUGCAGGCGGAUUCUUUACCAACUGGGCCACCAGGGAAGCCCUUAAAAGUAGAAUUAAUUAAAAAAAAAAAAAAAGUAGAGGUAAUGAUUCACCAGGUAAUUUAAUCUCCCAAGGAGGGAUCACCAUAUCAGGUGUCCCCCAAGACAGCUUCAUGUUCAGUAAUUUACUAGAAGGAAUCUCAGGACUGAGAAGUAGUUAUACUCACAGGUACAGUUUAUUAAUGAAAGGACACAAAACAAAAUCAGUAAAAGGAAUAGGGUUCAUGGGGCAAAGUCUGGAAGAAACCAGGAAGAAGCUUUCCAGAGUCCUCUCCCGUGGAGUCACACAGGAUGUACUUAAUUCUUCCAACAAUAACACCUGGCAAGUGUCUAUCAGGGAAGCUCACUGGUCUCACCAUCCAAGGUUUUUAGUGGAGGCCAGUCAUGUAGGAACUCUCAGCCAUUCACGUGUCAAAAUCCUAGAGUCCCAGAAGAUAAGCAGGUCUUCAGCAUGACCAUGGUAUUUGCACAGUCUAGACACAGUGAACCAUCCUUAUCAUUAGGGAAUGGUGGGGAAACUCCUGAAAGCCAAGUUCCCAGAUGCUAGACAAGAGCCAGUAUUGUAAGCAGACCUUUCUAACAACAGAUGUCUCAGGGCUGCUAUGACAACGACUUUCCGCACUGUCUCUCCCAGAGGUCCCUCUCCCUGGCCCUCACCACCUCUGAUCUUCCAGAUUCUGCUGGGUAAGUUCAAGUCUUGGAAACCCUGUAAGAGAUUGCUAGAUCUCUGGUUGUAUACAGUCUUGCCAUCAGUACAUAAGAAACUCUCAAAAACAUGUGUUGAAUAAAUGAGUUACGUGAAAAAAUAAUCUGGUAAUUUAAAACCAGAAAGAAAAUAUUCUGAAAUGUAUUAACAAAGGAUACUGCUAUUACAUGAGAGUUUUGUUAUAUUUUUAUAUGCUUUCCAAGUUUCCUAGAAUAAACACAUACUUUUUUUAUAAUUAAAAGCCAAGUAGAAAUAAAUGUUAGUUUCCAGCAAAUCUGAGUGUUGGUCCUGUAGAUUAGAGUCUACAGAGAAGGGCCAAGAUCCACUGGAUAACUUUGACCCCGGGGAUAUUUUUGGCCAUAGGAUUCUGGAUAAGGCCCACAUCACAGAGCAUUUUUCUCUUGGAACCUAAAUUUGGUGUUAUUCCCUUCCAUUCAGUCUUCAUAGAUAAAUUCAGGAAACACAAUGGUCAAUACUUAAAUCAAGAUUUGUCAACUGAUAAACUAAAACUAAAAACUCUGAAAAUCAACUGAUGUUUCUCAGCUUCCAGUAGCAAAGGCUACAAACUAUAGCGUUGCAAUUAACUUUUAGCCAUCUCUACUGAUGAAUGGAAACAAUUUUUGAAAAUUACUUUCCAAGCAUAUCUUCCUAAGGUUAAUAUUAAAAAUUAGCUUCCAGGAGGAGGAAUCUUAAACAAUAUUGUAAAGUAAUUAGCCUCCAAUUAAAAUAAAAAUAUUUUUUAAAAAAACAUAUUCUAGGUAGCAGUGGAAAACUAUCCUAAAUGUUUUUCAAUUUGACAUGAGCAGUACAACAGUGUACACUCUUACCACUUAUCACAGCUUAUGAUAACGAAUAAGGAUUCAACAUUAAGUACCCAAUUUGUCAGUACCUGGCUAUUCUAAGUAAUGCCAACUUUUUCCAGUAAUAUUAAUAGCUUCAUAGUCAAAUUCACUUUCUUCAUCACUUCAAUCCCUUUACAGCAAGAGAACCGAACAUGUAUAGCUAAACCACAUUUUCCACAUUGGGAAGAAUAAAAGUC